AACGAACGCUGGCGGCAUGCCUAACACAUGCAAGUCGAACGAGACCUUCGGGUCUAGUGGCGCACGGGUGCGUAACGCGUGGGAACCUGCCCUUAGGUUCGGAAUAACUCCCCGAAAGGGGUGCUAAUACCGGAUAAUGUCUUCGGACCAAAGGUUUAUCGCCUUUGGAUGGGCCCGCGUUGGAUUAGCUAGUUGGUAGGGUAAAAGCAUACCAAGGCGACGAUCCAUAGCUGGUCUGAGAGGAUGAUCAGCCACACUGGGACUGAGACACGGCCCAGACUCCUACGGGAGGCAGCAGUUGGGAAUAUUGGACAAUGGGCGAGAGCCUGAUCCAGCAAUGCCGCGUGGGUGAUGAAGGCCUUAGGGUUGUAAAGCUCUUUUAACCGGGAUGAUAAUGACAGUACCGGGAGAAUAAGCUCCGGCUAACUCCGUG
rnacentral:rRNA from 1 species